rnacentral:rRNA from 1 species
GAUGAACGCUGGCGGCGUGCCUCAAACAUGCAAGUCGAGCGGGGCUAUGUAAUACCGCAAGGUAGAACAUAGCCUAGCGGCGAACGGGUGAGUAACACGUGGGUAACCUGCCUGGAAGACAGGGAUAACGAUUCGAAAGGGUCGCUAAUACCUGAUAAUAUCCUUUCAUCGCAUGGUGAUAGGAAGAAAGGGGAAACCCGCUUUCAGAUAGGCCCGCGUCCCAUCAGCUAGUUGGUAAGGUAAAGGCUUACCAAGGCGACGACGGGUAGCCGGUCUGAGAGGAUGUACGGCCACACUGGGACUGAGAUACGGCCCAGACUCCUACGGGAGGCAGCAGUUGGGAAUCUUAGGCAAUGGACGAAAGUCUGACCUAGCGACGCCGCGUGAGGGAAGAAGGCCUUCGGGUUGUAAACCUCUGUCAUGGGGGAAGAAGUAAGUGACGGUACCCCAAGAGGAACGCCCUGCUAACUACGUGCCAGCCGCCGCGUAAAACCGACAGCGUA